AUGAGCAAUGGGCUGGGGCCUCCCCCGGAGCCCAGUCCUGGCAAGCAGAGAGCAAAACCUCACCCUGGGUCUCUCCCCCCACCUCCCUCCCUGGGGCCAUAACGGUUGCUUUUGUUGGCAAGUAUUGUAUGUCCCUGCUCUCAUCCACUAAGGAACCCUUUGUUAGGAAGAGCGGACAUGGGAGCGUUAACUCAGAGUCUGGGCAAGGGUGGAGGAAAUGGCUGGGUGGCAGACCCCCCGCUGGAGGUGAACAGGGCCAAAGCAAAGAAUCCACAGGCAUCAGCUGGGGACCCUCCGAGAAAGGGAAGUUCUGGGUUCCCUGGCCCUCCCCUUGGGAGUCUUGCACUGUGGAAUACGGCUUGAGUGAUUCUCUUGCUGACAGUCCUCCAGCAUUUGCCCACCGCUCUUUCUGUCCAAGCGCUGGCAGGGGACAGGGGUAGGCAGACAACGUGCACUGCCCGGCCGGGAACCAACUGGAAGAUACAACAGGCACAAGAGAAAGCCUGAAAACCAGAACCGAGGACAUUUGUCCCACAGAAUUCUGCAUUUCCUGGUGUCCCUUUUGAAGAGCAAGGGGGCAGGUGGCAAGCAUCCCCUGAAAUGGAGAAGCUCAGAAGGGAAAAGGAAGAGCUUGUUUGGAAUGAGAGUUGGAGAAAGAGAGUGCAAGCAGGGGAGGGUC